UUUAUUGAACGAGACCCCAACGCUAGGAGACACCGCGAAAAAAGCAUGUUGGUUUGGCGUAGCAUAGUUCCCAACAUUCAAUUUUCUCCGGGGAAUUUCUUCAAGCACCUUCCGGCUUCGACACCAACGUCUAUUUGUUGCCCGUGCAACAUCAUAAUCACUGGAACCUUAUUCACUACUCGAGCACUUAGAUCUUCCUAUUUCGAAUCCCUUGCUUCCCAUCAAAAGGAUCAGGUCCAUCUCUACGUUGACACUCUUCUCCAAUGGAACCAGAGAAUGAAUCUUACCGCCGUUACAGAGGUAAAUGAGGUUAUGGAAAGGCACAUUGAGGAUUCACUUGCAAUUAUACCCCCUAUGAGAAGUUCUUAUGCCUCCCAUUGUAACGACUCAGUCGACAGCAUCAACCUCGUUGAUGUUGGAAGCGGCGCGGGGCUUCCCGGAUUGAUUUUAGCUAUUGCUUGCCCAGAUUGGAAGGUAACCCUAUUAGAGUCUAUGAACAAGCGCUGCGUUUUCUUGGAGAAUGCCAUAGGUCUUGCUGGCUUGUCUAAUGUCCGAGUUGUGAGAGGAAGAGCGGAGAAUUUGGGGCAGGAUCUUUGCUUCAGAGAAAAAUUUGAUGUAGCAGUGGCAAGGGCGGUUGCAGAGAUGAGAAUCUUAGCUGAAUAUUGUCUUCCACUGGUUCGUGUUGGUGGUCUAUUUGUAGCUGCAAAGGGUCAUGAUCCUCAGGAGGAAGUUAAAAAUGCAGAAAGAGCAAUUCAAAUGAUGGGUUCUUCCCUGUUGCAACUUUCCUCAGGUGGAUAUUUUGCCUGUAUGAUCCAUUCCAUACAUUUUCAGUCUUCACCUCUGCGGCUAGGAUAUGAGUUCUUUGCCUGCACAUAUUUUUGGCUCUUAAUCAUGUUGUUUUUUGGUUAGUGGCUCUUUAUAAAUGCAUUCACUUGUUUUUCUCCUAUUGGCUUUUAUGGUUUUGGGGGCUCGGGUAGCGUGGAGGUUGACAUUCCUAUCCAGCUUGUGUAUCACCUUCAGGCAAAGAACAAGGCUAUUUAUUCAGGGAAGUGAAUGAAGAUGGAGUCACACAGCCCAUAUGGACAGCGAACUGCCAUUAUAUGUUUGAAAGAUCGCCCCACCCCAAGAAAGUAUCCUCGUGAUCCGGGG